rnacentral:rRNA from 1 species
GACGAACGCUGGCGGCGUGCUUAACACAUGCAAGUCGAACGAUGAAGCCGGAGCUUGCUCUGGUGAAUUAGUGGCGAACGGGUGAGUAACACGUGAGUAACCUGCCCUUGACUCUGGGAUAACUGCGGGAAACUGUAGCUAAUACCGGAUACGACCCUCGGAGGCAUCUCCUGGGGGUGGAAAGAAUUUCGGUCAAGGAUGGACUCGCGGCCUAUCAGCUAGUUGGUGAGGUAAAGGCUCACCAAGGCGACGACGGGUAGCCGGCCUGAGAGGGUGCCCGGCCACCCGGGGACUGAGACACGGCCCAGACUCCUACGGGAGGCAGCAGUGGGGAAUAUUGCACAAUGGGCGCAAGCCUGAUGCAGCAACGCCGCGUGAGGGAUGACGGCCUUCGGGUUGUAAACCUCUUUUAGCAGGGAAGAAGCGAAAGUGACGGUACCUGCAGAAAAAGCACCGGCUAACUACGUGCCAGCCGCCGCAGUAA